rnacentral:lncRNA from 1 species
UGCAAGAAAACACAAUGUUGUUCCAAAUAAAUUCAAAUAUAAAAAGAUAGUCCAAAGGCUUAAUACAAUUUUUAGAUUAAUUCCUUUUUUGUGCCAAGAUAUAUCCAUCUCCUGAUUCUAAUCUCAAAUUCAAACCUCCUCUCACUAAAAUGUCUAUAAACCACUUGGUACUAAUUCAAUCUAAGCAAAGUUUAGCUCAUUGAGCUUAAC